UUCCGGUUGAUCCUGCCGGACCCGACUGCUAUUUGGGUGAGAAUAAGCCAUGCGAGUUGAAUGGGAUACCUAAAGUUCCCAUAGCAAACUGCUCAGUAACACAUGAUCAACUUACCCUAUAGAGAAAAAUAACCUCGGGAAACUGAGGAUAAUGUUUCAUAAUUGAAUUGGCUUGGAAAAGUUUUUCAAUGAAAAGGAUAAAAAAAAUGGUUUUUAUCUGCUAUAGGAUAGGAUCGUGUUCGAUUAUGGUUGUUGGUGAGAUAAUGGCUCACCAAGCCGACAAUCGAUAGGGGCCGUGAGAGCGGGAGCCCCGAGAUGGGUACUGAGACAACGACCCAGGCCUUACGAGGCGCAGCAGGCGCGGAACCUCCGCAAUACACGAAAGUGUGACGGGGUUACCCAAAGUGUUCAAUUGAACUGUGGUAGGUGAGUAAUGUCCCCUACUAGAAAGGAGAGGGCAAGGCUGGUGCCAGCCGCCGCGGUAAAACCAGCUCUUCAAGUGGUCGGGAUAAUUAUUGGGCUUAAAGUGUCCGUAGCCGGUUUAGUAAGUUCCUGGUAAAAUCGGGUAGCUUAACUAUCUGCAUGCUAGGAAUACUGCUAUACUAGAGGGCGGGAGAGGUCUGAGGUACUACAGGGGUAGGGGUGAAAUCUUAUAAUCCUUGUAGGACCACCAGUGGCGAAGGCGUCAGACUGGAACGCGCCUGACGGUGAGGGACGAAAGCCAGGGGAGCGAACCGGAUUAGAUACCCGAGUAGUCCUGGCCCGUAAACGAUGCAUACUAUGUGAUGGUACGGCCAUGAGCCGUAUCAGUGCCGUAGGGAAACCGUUAAGUGUGCCGCCUGUGAAGUACGGUCGCAAGGCUAAAACUUAAAGGAAUUGGCGGGGGAGCACCCACAAGGGGUGAAGCCUGCGGUUCAAUUGGAUUCAACGCCGGA
rnacentral:rRNA from 1 species